UAUCUGAUGGUAAUGACUUUGGCACAUU
rnacentral:sRNA from 1 species